rnacentral:rRNA from 1 species
AACGAACGCUGGCGGCAUGCCUAACACAUGCAAGUCGAACGAAGGCUUCGGCCUUAGUGGCGCACGGGUGCGUAACGCGUGGGAAUCUGCCCUUGGGUUCGGAAUAACAGUUAGAAAUGACUGCUAAUACCGGAUGAUGUCGUAAGACCAAAGAUUUAUCGCCCAGGGAUGAGCCCGCGUAAGAUUAGGUAGUUGGUGGGGUAAAAGGCCUACCAAGCCGACGAUCUUUAGCUGGUCUGAGAGGAUGAUCAGCCACACUGGGACUGAGACACGGCCCAGACUCCUACGGGAGGCAGCAGUGGGGAAUAUUGGACAAUGGGCGAAAGCCUGAUCCAGCAAUGCCGCGUGAGUGAUGAAGGCCUUAGGGUUGUAAG